UGGAAUCACACUAGCCCUCAGGCUAAAAUAAAUAGGAUUGCUCAAAUAAGGCGCUAUCAUCAAUGGACGACCGUCUCAAACUGCGACAAACCUGGUUAUACACUAUUUUGUAUUAACAAAGCUUAUACUCCGAUUACGUUUUUUAGUCGUUACUAUUACAUGUUAUCUCGUAAAGACCAAAUAAACACUAUUGAUUCGGUUUGAUAAGCCGACCAGUUAUAAGUUGUAACGUACGGUGUCGGCAGCUCGAACUCUUAUGUGUCAUUGUGUUUCUAAACGUUUUUUUUUGGUCAUAUAUGCGUUUGUAUUUUU